rnacentral:rRNA from 1 species
UACAGAGGUCCCAAGCGUUGUUCGGAUUCACUGGGCGUAAAGGGUGCGUAGGCGGUCGGGUAAGUCUGAUGUGAAAUCUCCAAGCUCAACUUGGAAAUGGCAUCGGAUACUAUUCGGCUCGAGGAAUGGAGGGGAGACUGGAAUACUUGGCGUAGCAGUGAAAUGCGUAGAUAUCAAGUGGAACACCAGUGGCGAAGGCGGCUCACUGGCCCGGAACUGACGCUGAGACGCGAAAGCGUGGGGAGCAAACAGG